rnacentral:rRNA from 9 species
UGUCGUCAGCUCGUGUCGUGAGAUGUUGGGUUAAGUCCCGCAACGAGCGCAACCCUCGCCGUUAGUUGCCAGCAGGUUUGGCUGGGCACUCUAACGGGACCGCCGGUGUCAAGCCGGAGGAAGGUGGGGAUGACGUCAAGUCCUCAUGGCCCUUACGGGUAGGGCUACACACGUGCUACAAUGGCAGUGACAAUGGGUUAAUCCCCAAAAACUGUCUCAGUUCGGAUUGUCGUCUGCAACUCGACGGCAUGAAGGUGGAAUCGCUAGUAAUCGUGGAUCAGCAUGCCACGGUGAAUACGUUCCCGGGCCUUGUACACACCGCCCGUCACAUCAUGGGAAUUGGUUCUACCCGAAGACGCUGUGCUAACUUCGGAGGCAGGCGGCCACGGUAGGAUCAGUGACUGGGAUGAAGUCGUAACAAGGUAGCCGUAGGGGAACCUGCGGCUGGAUCACCUCCUU